ACGGCUCAGUAACACGUAGUCAACAUGCCCAGGGGACGUGGAUAACCUCGGGAAACUGAGGCUAAACCGCGAUAGGCCAAGAUUUCUGGAAUGGAUCAUGGCCUAAAUCUAUAUGGCCCCUGGAUUGGACUGCGGCCGAUCAGGCUGUUGGUGAGGUAAUGGCCCACCAAACCUGUAACCGGUACGGGCUCUGAGAGGAGGAGCCCGGAGAUGGGCACUUAGACAAGGGCCCAGGCCCUAUGGGGCGCAGCAGGCGCGAAACCUCUGCAAUAAGCGAAAGCUUGACAGGGUUACUCUGAGUGAUUUCCGCUAAGGAAGUCUUUUGGCACCUCUAAAAAUGGUGCAGAAUAAGGGGUGGGCAAGUCUGGUGUCAGCCGCCGCGGUAAUACCAGCACCCCGAGUGGUCGGGACGAUUAUUGGGCCUAAAGCAUCCGUAGCCGGUCCUGCAAGUCCUCCGUUAAAUCCACCCGCUCAACGGUUGGGCCGCGGGGGAUACUACAGGGCUAGGAGGCGGGAGAGGCAAGCGGUACUCGAUGGGUAGGGGUAAAAUCCACUGAUCCAUUGAAGACCACCAGUGGCGAAGGCGGCCUGCCAGAACGCGCUCGACGGUGAGGGAUGAAAGCUGGGGGAGCAAACCGGAUUAGAUACCCGGGUAGUCCCAGCUGUAAACGAUGCAGACUCGGUGAUGGGCUGGCUUCGUGCCAACCCGGUGCCGCAGGGAAGCCGUUAAGUCUGCCGCCUGGGGAGUACGGUCGCAAGACUGAAACUUAGAGGAAUUGGCGGGGGAGCAC
rnacentral:rRNA from 1 species